rnacentral:rRNA from 1 species
AGAGUUUGAUCCUGGCUCAGAUUGAACGCUGGCGGCAGGCCUAACACAUGCAAGUCGAGCGGUAGCACAGAGAGCUUGCUCUCGGGUGACGAGCGGCGGACGGGUGAGUAAUGUCUGGGAAACUGCCUGAUGGAGGGGGAUAACUACUGGAAACGGUAGCUAAUACCGCAUAACGUCGCAAGACCAAAGUGGGGGACCUUCGGGCCUCAUGCCAUCAGAUGUGCCCAGAUGGGAUUAGCUAGUAGGUGGGGUAACGGCUCACCUAGGCGACGAUCCCUAGCUGGUCUGAGAGGAUGACCAGCCACACUGGAACUGAGACACGGUCCAGACUCCUACGGGAGGCAGCAGUGGGGAAUAUUGCACAAUGGGCGCAAGCCUGAUGCAGCCAUGCCGCGUGUGUGAAGAAGGCCUUCGGGUUGUAAAGCACUUUCAGCGGGGAGGAAGGCGGUGAGGUUAAUAACCUCAUCGAUUGACGUUACCCGCAGAAGAAGCACCGGCUAACUCCGUGCCAGCAGCCGCGGUAAUACGGAGGGUGCAAGCGUUAAUCGGAAUUACUGGGCGUAAAGCGCACGCAGGCGGUCUGUCAAGUCGGAUGUGAAAUCCCCGGGCUCAACCUGGGAACUGCAUUCGAAACUGGCAGGCUAGAGUCUUGUAGAGGGGGGUAGAAUUCCAGGUGUAGCGGUGAAAUGCGUAGAGAUCUGGAGGAAUACCGGUGGCGAAGGCGGCCCCCUGGACAAAGACUGACGCUCAGGUGCGAAAGCGUGGGGAGCAAACAGGAUUAGAUACCCUGGUAGUCCACGCCGUAAACGAUGUCGAUUUGGAGGUUGUGCCCUUGAGGCGUGGCUUCCGGAGCUAACGCGUUAAAUCGACCGCCUGGGGAGUACGGCCGCAAGGUUAAAACUCAAAUGAAUUGACGGGGGCCCGCACAAGCGGUGGAGCAUGUGGUUUAAUUCGAUGCAACGCGAAGAACCUUACCUGGUCUUGACAUCCACAGAACUUUCCAGAGAUGGAUUGGUGCCUUCGGGAACUGUGAGACAGGUGCUGCAUGGCUGUCGUCAGCUCGUGUUGUGAAAUGUUGGGUUAAGUCCCGCAACGAGCGCAACCCUUAUCCUUUGUUGCCAGCGGUCCGGCCGGGAACUCAAAGGAGACUGCCAGUGAUAAACUGGAGGAAGGUGGGGAUGACGUCAAGUCAUCAUGGCCCUUACGACCAGGGCUACACACGUGCUACAAUGGCAUAUACAAAGAGAAGCGACCUCGCGAGAGCAAGCGGACCUCAUAAAGUAUGUCGUAGUCCGGAUUGGAGUCUGCAACUCGACUCCAUGAAGUCGGAAUCGCUAGUAAUCGUAGAUCAGAAUGCUACGGUGAAUACGUUCCCGGGCCUUGUACACACCGCCCGUCACACCAUGGGAGUGGGUUGCAAAAGAAGUAGGUAGCUUAACCUUCGGGAGGGCGCUUACCACUUUGUGAUUCAUGACUGGGGUGAAGUCGUAACAAGGUAACCGUA